AUUGCACGUUGUAAUAGGCGUCAGAGUCAACAUAAGCUGACACACUUUAUGCUAUUCGGAAUUGGCGCGAAGGACGGUAUUACCCAAGUUUUUCCUAUGCUUGUAAGGCCUGUAUAUACUGCAGGAAUAGAAGCCAAAUCAUAUGAUAUUCCCUUGGUCACGUCAUAAAUAUUUGAUGACCCUCCUGAUUGCUCUGAUUACAUAACAGACGUAAUUAAAAUGCAGUGAUUUCUUCAGCAACAUUGAGUACUCCAGCCAGACUUGGUUUAUUAAUAGGAGCAUUGAACGGACAAGGGCCAUUGUCGUAGGCUGUAAUAAUUAUCUAGGAUCACUCGAUAUUCAUAGUUACUACGCUGGGCGAUGGCAUCAACAAGCAGGACUAUUGUUUGUUAAUUUACUCUGGGACUAAUUAGCGAGGAUUGUUGUUUCACUCUUGGCUAUGGUUACUGCAGUGUGGGUCCAUAGCUGAGGAUCGUUUUUCAUGGGGAAGACUGCGAAGGGACAAGAUAAGACCUGGUGCUGCCUGCCUGCUUACUUGCCUGCUGAAUGAUCAACAUUUGAGUAAUGACUGAUAGAUAUGAAUUGGAGUGUUUGCUAUCAGGAUUAAUCUCUUGCUAACUCACUGUUUACAACAGUUUAGUCUGUAGCAGCCAGGAAGCAAGGUUUUUCUUUUAGCUUAGGUCAGGAGACAGGAUAAGCGUGUUGAAUCUUGGACAACCACCCCAUAUGAAGCUGUGUUGCUUGCUAAAUUAAAAUCUGUGUAACAUUCCCAGUACAAGUUCAGCCCUGAGUUGAACAUGCAUGGAAUAUAUUGGACAAGUUUGUUGCAUCAUAGAUUCUGACUGUACGGAUGGAGCCCAUAAAAUUUGGAUUCAUAUUGAAUACCAUUUCUCUGAUGAUUUCAUGACAAUUGUGCAUUGAUUGUUCAAGGAUUAUUCACCCUGAUGGCAAACAAUUGUCUUGUGUGUGCUUAGAGGAAUCUGUAUUCUGUGAACUUCUUAAACAUUCCAAUAUUUUUGUAUCCGAGGUCCUGUGUUUCUUCUGAUACAUUGGUUAUGAAAAUUGUUCAUCUUCCUUUCAUCAUCAGUUGAUGUGAGUUCGUCGUUUAGAAGAGGUUAUCACUUAAGAUGUGCAUCAUCUGAAUUAGAGCUACUAGAACAAAACCAAAGAGAUAUUUGCUUGAUGAUCCCAAAUGCUUCUUUCACCCAUUCAGAUAUCAUGUAAACACAACAGAACACAAGUCCCUAUUUAGCCUCGCUCCAGUGGCUUGAGAGCAAAGAUAUACUGAAAGCAAAGGACUAUUUUUAGGAAAAACUGAUGCUUCAACGCCAGAAGGGCCUCAAGAAGUGAGAGAAUAUUUACCCCUUGUUGGGAGAGGGAGAAAGAUAAAGUGUUUUCUUAUCUCGCUCUGAAUGUAUUUCUGGAGAGCUUUAGAGUUUGUGAAAGUUUUAGAUGGCUGUCAGUAGCGAAGGACACGAGCCUAGUCGAGUGGCUCUGUUUCUUGAAGCGGCACUCCUCAAAUGUCCAACAGGAAUAAAUCGAAGGCUGUUUAAUGUUAAAAUCAGAGAAAUUGAGGCUGCAGAUACAUGUCAAUGGCUAAGAGCAACAGGGUUCCCACAGUAUGCACAAAUGUUUGAAGAGAGUCGGUACCCAAUAGAUUUGGAGCUUGUGCAAAAAGAUCAUGAUUUUUUGGACCAAGAUUUGUUAGAUUCAGUUGUAAGGUGA